rnacentral:lncRNA from 1 species
UGCCGCCCACAGGCCUCAUUCCACAGCUGUGGACCUGGCAGGGCCUGGCUUGCCUGGGGAGGCCCCACUGCAGGCGGGUUAUGCCCCGUGGACAGUGGGCAGUGUGGCCCUGGGGUCCAGCCCAGGGGCACCGUAGCUGGACAGCCUGGGCCCAGAGCCUGGUUCUGUGCUGAUGUGCUGCCUGGCCUGGGGCAGGCGCCUUGGCUGCUCUGAGCCGGGGCCCCAUAAAGUGGGCAUGGAGAUGGUGGUCCCACCUAGUGCUCCUGGAGGGGUGAUGGGGUGAGGUGUAUGAGGCCCUCUGAGCGGUGCCCGCGUUGUCUGUAAAAAUGAGCGCAGUGGCGUCCAGGUGUGGGCGGGAGGUGGGGCAGCCGGAAAGCAGCCCUUCAGUCACUGGCUGAAGUCCAGGGAUGGGGGCAACCACUUUAGAUGGAGGGGUGGUGUCAGGACACGCCAUGGGGAGAGAGAGGCAGAAGCGCAGAGGAGGUCCUGCUGGGCCAGAAGAGCGCGUUUCACUCCGAGAUGGGGCAAGGCAUGGAAAGGGUGUGAGCAGGGAUGGGGCAGGGCCAAGCGUUUCCCAUCUUGGAGAAAACCAGCUGUGGGGGGUGGGGGGCCUGGAGGGCUGGGGUUGGUUGGUCUGGUUAUCCCCACCCUACAGUUGCAGAAACUGAGGCUCAGAGUGGGAGCCGUGCUUGGCCAGGGGAACCUGGAAGGAACUGUGGGCCGAUGCUGGAGUCUGCGUGCCAGCUGGGGGGAGACAGGGCUCUGUGCAGCUGUCAUAGGGACUUCUUGGGGGCACAGGAGGACCAGGGACCUACCUGGACAUGUGAGCAUUGGUGUUCCUGGCUGGAACGUCGCCCUCAGGUCUUAAUCCAUCGAUCCUGCCACCUCUUGUCUGCACCUUCCAUAUCUUUCCCCAAUAGAAUCUCUUCCAAUAGCAAGGAAAUGAAUUCAAGUCUCUCUGGAAUGUUGUCUAUGGCACCAGAGCGUGGCCACAGGUCAAAGGCACUCAUUUGCAAUAUUCAAGUCUCUGGGGACAUGGGAGCCUUCCAAUCCUUCACCCUCCUUCAGCCAGGCCCACCGAGGACACUCCGCUGAUCAAGCCAGCCUGGCGUCCUGUCACCUCUCUUUAAGGCUGGGGGAAUCUGGGUCCAGGAGUUCCUGACUUUCUGGUCUUUGGGUCCUGCCCAGCCGUGAGCCCUCCACGCCCCCAGGACAAGACACCAACUCAGAUUCCACUAAGCCUGUGUGGUCACAGGGUCCUCAGGAGGUCUGGGGCAGCCCCUUCCUCUGGCCCAUCCCUCCGUGGCCUCCUGGCCCUGCUAUCCCUGCCCUCCACCCCUUGUGGCCACCCCCCUGGGGCACAGGCGGUUUGUCGGACUGUGUUUGGGGUUUGGCCGCAUCUCCUUCUGCUGGAGCGUAAUCUCCCAAGAGUAGGGCGACGUCUUCUCGUCUUCUCGUUGUUUUUUUUUUUUAUUUUUUUUAAAGAUUUUAUUUUUUCCUUUUUCUCCCCAAAGCCCCCCGGUACAUAGUUGUGUAUUCUUCGUUGUGGGUUCUUCUAGUUGUGGCAUGUGGGACGCUGCCUCAGCGUGGUCUGAUGAGCAGUGCCAUGUCUGCGCCCAGGAUUCGAACUAACGAAACACUGGGCCGCCUGCAGCGGAGUGCGCGAACUUAACCACUCGGCCACGGGGCCAGCCCCGUCUUCUCGUUGUUUUAUACCAUUCGUGCCUGGCCACAAUGAUAACAGCUACUGUGUAUUUUGGGACUUGCACAGUCGUCCCUCGUAUCUGUGGGGGAUUGGUUUCAGGACCCCUCGAGGAUAAAAGAUCUGUGGAUGCUCCAGUCCCCCAGGUGGCCCUCUGUACCCGCAGGUUCCGCAUCCUUUGAUUCAACCCAUCUUGGGAAUGAUGGGGAACCCAUUUAUACUUUGGAAAAUGAUUUAAUUCAAUCCUAUAAAAAUCUAUGAACUUGGUAAUAUUUUCUCCAUUUUGAAGUUGUAAAUACUGAGGCUCAGAGAGUUUAAGAAACUUGCUCAAGUUUACCCAGCUAGUGAUGGCUAAACCAGGAGCACAAAAGAAUAGUUUUAAUAUUUUUGAAA